rnacentral:tRNA from 1 species
GCCUGGCUCAGUUGGUGGAGCAUGUGACUCUUGAUCUCAAGGUUGUGUGUUUGAGUCCCACGUUGAGCA